GUCCCCGUAGCUCAGCUGGUAGAGCAAUUGACUCUUAAUCAAUGGGUCCAGGGUUCGAAUCCCUGCGGAGACA
rnacentral:tRNA from 1 species